UAAAUAAAGCGCAUUUAAUGAUCUGUGUAGUUAGAAAUACAAUGAUUAUAAUUAUAUAUAUUUUAUUUGACUGAAUGUAAUAUAUUUGGUUGCAUGCAGUUGAAAACUUAGUUUCAUAAAUUUUAUCAUUAUAUAUGUUGGUUUUUUAAUCUGGUUUCGGGUCGCCCAUGAUGGGCAAAUCCGACCUGACCCAUUAAGAGGUGGUUUUCUUAGUUGGUUGGGAAACCACCCAGGGCGUGUUUGGUUCGAAGUCGGAGUCGGAAUCGAAAUCGGAAUCAAAAUAAACUGGAAUCGGAAUCGGAAUGACUCAUUACCUAAUUCCAUUUGGUUCAUCACCUGAAUCGGAAUCGGAAUAAAUCAUUUCCAUUGUUGAUGUUUGGUUCAGGUAGAUAUAAAAAACAUAAUCAAAUUAAUAUACUAACAUUAUCUUUAUAAUAUAUUAAUUUAAAUUCAAAUUAAAAAUUAAAUAUUAAAAAUUUACAUCAAAAUUUUUAAAUAAUAUCAAAUUUUUAAAUCUAUUUUUUUAAAAUAAAUUAAACUUUGAA
rnacentral:lncRNA from 1 species